UCUCAAAAUCAUACGCACCCGCAACAAUUGUACACUUAAUUCACCCGUUGAAUAAUACUCCACCGCUGUCAAGAUUUCACAUACUUAAACCGCGGCCAUAUGUGAAGAUAAAUAGGAGGUUUCCUGCUUAAUCCUACCCACAAAUUUCAUUCAUGUAUUUCAACUUAAUUUAGAAGCAGAAACAUGGCGCAAAGCAUUUCUACUUGUUUGGCCGGGAUGGUGGUGCUAGUCCUGAUUUCCAGCCCAGCCCGGUUGAACGCCUUCUCGUGCACCGAAGCCUUAACAGAUUUGUUGCCCUGCCGAUCGUUUCUGACGGGCAACGGCCCUAUCACCCUUUCCUGUUGCCGGAGCGUUGAUGCCUUAAGACAAGCUGCUGCUGCCCAAUCAGACAAGAGAGCUAUCUGUAGAUGUCUUCAGCAAGCUGCAUUGUCUGCUAACGUCAAUCGAGCGAGAAUCGAGGGACUCGAAAGUGUUUGCAAUAUUAACAUUCCCUUCCCCAUCGGCCCCAAUUUCAACUGCAGCGCGAUUCCGCGGCACACGGCAGGGGCGCACAGUCUGGGCAGGGCCCUGGCGUAUUGAAAUCCAGGAAUGGGGAUGCUGUUUUCCUGGAAGAGGAGACUCUAUAAGAUGGCAGAUGAUAGACAUUAUCCAAGUGAUGGAUGUCGGAGGAUUUUGUGAUUGUGGAAUAAAUAUAAAACAUGUUUGAGAAAUAAACAAAAUGUUGAUAGAAAUGUCUCUUUUUUGUUCUGCUUCAUUAUA